ensembl:lincRNA
GAGAUUCUCCAGUCUGGGAUUGUGUCAUAUUCACUGCUCCAGCAUAGUGCCUUAGACAAAAUUGAUACCCAGUAAAUGCUUGCUCAAUAUUCAUUGGUAAUACACACAUGCACAAUAAAAACCCUCUAAAAGGAAUAACUAUAAACCUACAAAGUGACAAAGGCUAGAGUUCUGAGCAAGCCUCUCUGGACUUUUCACUAUUGUUCCAUCAGGUAGGUUUUCAUGUCCUUCUUUCUGCCUCUUUAUUUCUGUCUUCUUGCUUCUCAACGUCUGGCCAUGGUGGUGGUGGUGCUUGAGUGGCAACAGUUCUGCGCUCACUGAUGAGCCUGCAGUCUACAACUGGCAUUCCAUUCCAUUUCUUGCAGGGCCAUCAGCCUUCCCUUCAAUGCUUGGAAGUUCACGUCAAGACAUUUUGGCCAGGCGUGCAUCAGUCCUUGGGCAGAUGCUCCUAGUGGGAGGUGAGGAAUGCUCCCACCUGAGUCUCUCCCACCUUGCGUUCCACAGCAGGUGUGCCAGGGGCAUUCUAAUCAUGCUUCCUGUGGAUUUGCAUCUGCUUCUGGUUUUCAGAGCUUCUGGUCAUUUUCACUACAAAAUUUUAGGCUCUAUUUAUCUGUCACAUCACCAAAGCUAGUCCUGGAUAUUUCUGACCAGGAAAUAUUUGAGCUGUGUUGUAAACAAGACAAUGACCAUGGGCACCUCCCUGAUCCUCAUCCUCUUCCUCAGUAAAACAAGAGGAAAUGGUCACAAGCCCCUCUGAUUCUAACAUCAAUGGCAUCUAUGAGGUCACAUGAACCUUCAGUGCUAGCAAUGUCUUUAAAUGGGAUUAGCAGCUGGCUUGAGCACUGACCCAUUUGAGGGGCUGGUUGCUGACCCCACACUCCUCAAGUCCUCUGUCUGCAGGAUACUAGGAUGCUGACCUUUCAUCAUUCCACUGACGUUAUGUGGCCUAAAAUCCUCAGCUUGAAGACUCAAAUUAUCGAAACUUCAGGGGAAAAAUUUAAACUUUCCUACACCAGAAUCAGCGUGAGAGAAGAACCUAGUUGCCACCCCAGCCAGAUGAUGUGCAGCAAACCUCUUCACCAACUGGACACAGAUGGUGGCCUCUCUCCAGAACAAAACAGACUGUUGGGUCUGUGGAGAGCUGACCCCUCUCCUCCACAGUGGGACUGCUAUGGGCAUCCAGGAUCAACUCCCAGCACACGGAAGGACUUUUUGUUUCUGUAGUUUGUAUUGCAGCAUGGCAUCUGGCUGCAAUGUUCGUCUGCAUGCCUGGUCCCAGGGAAAUUGCAGAAAAAUAGAUGAUAAGAACAUGAGGGCCACUCAAGGGCAUUUUGGGGUGGAGCGUACAAUAAAUUCACCUGGCAGCAGUGACUCGAGCAUACCCUGAGAGUGACCCUGUAUGGCAGACGCACCUGAAUGUGUGUUCAGAGAAUAAUUCCUUAUCUAUGAAAAACAUCUGAGCCCCCAGCCCAGCCUGUGAAACACUGGCCUUACAGGGCAUUCAGGCCCUGAGUUUGGGGUUAAAUGAAAAUUGCCAGGUGGAGGUUUUUAGGGGGAGGGUACAAAGUGGAAAUACUGUAUAAACUGCAUGCUUUUUGCAAGUGGAUGUGGUUCUUCUGCACAGAUCUCCACCGCUGCACUCUCCCCUGUAUGUAAGCCCCCAGUAAAACCACACGUCUCGUUUGCUGGCUCUGGGUCCCUUCUUUGGCUUCUUAAACCUGGUGCCAUCCCCACUGAGGUUUAUACGGAUUUAGCACAACAAGGCCUGGACUUUUCAGGGUGACCUCAGCCCAUCUAGCAUAGAUGCAAAUGCCACCAUAACAUGAGAAUGGACUCAGCCUCCCCAGGCUGAUGUCUUGAAUCAGGGGAAAAAGCUGAAGUCUUCGUGUCUCAUAAACAACAAGUGUGGACUGGCCUCAAAUCAUACUACCUUUUGGGUGAAUAUCUAGAGUGUCAAAAGAAGAAUCACUUGCUUUGCUUCGUUUUGUUUGUCUUUC